rnacentral:rRNA from 1 species
GAUGAACGCUGGCGGCGUGCUUAACACAUGCAAGUCGAACGGUGAAAGAGAGCUUGCUCUCUGGAUCAGUGGCGAACGGGUGAGUAACACGUGAGCAAUCUGCCCCUGACUCUGGGAUAAGCGCUGGAAACGGCGUCUAAUACCGGAUACGAGCUGCGAAGGCAUCUUCAGCAGCUGGAAAGAACUUCGGUCAGGGAUGAGCUCGCGGCCUAUCAGCUAGUUGGUGAGGUAACGGCUCACCAAGGCGUCGACGGGUAGCCGGCCUGAGAGGGUGACCGGCCACACUGGGACUGAGACACGGCCCAGACUCCUACGGGAGGCAGCAGUGGGGAAUAUUGCACAAUGGGCGCAAGCCUGAUGCAGCAACGCCGCGUGAGGGACGACGGCCUUCGGGUUGUAAACCUCUUUUAGCAGGGAAGAAGCGAAAGUGACGGUACCUGCAGAAAAAGCACCGGCUAACUACGUGCCAGCCGCCGCAGUAAAAC